AACGAACGCUGGCGGCGUGCUUAAGACAUGCAAGUCGAACGGUAAGGCGAGUUACUCUUCGGAGUAACUCGCACACGAGUGGCGCACGGGUGAGUAACGCGUGGGUAAUCUGCCUUCGGGUUUGGGACAACUCCGGGAAACUGGAGCUAAUACCGAAUAAGACCACGAGAUCCUCGGAUCUUGCGGAAAAAGGUGGCCUCUUCUUGAAAGCCAUCGCCUGUUGAUGAGCCCGCGUCCCAUUAGCUUGUUGGUGAGGUAACGGCUCACCAAGGCAUCGAUGGGUAGCUGGUCUGAGAGGAUGAUCAGCCACACUGGAACUGAGACACGGUCCAGACUCCUACGGGAGGCAGCAGUCGGGAAUCUUGCACAAUGGGCGAAAGCCUGAUGCAGCAACGCCGCGUGAGGGAUGAAGGCCCUCGGGUCGUAAACCUCUGUCGGAAGGGAAGAAAGUAUUCCGGGCCAAUACCCCGGAGUAUCGACGGUACCUUCAAAGGAAGCGCCGGCUAACUCCGUGCCAGCAGCCGCGGUAAUACGGAGGGCGCGAGCGUUAUUCGGAAUUAUUGGGCGUAAAGCGCGUGUAGGCGGCUGGGAAAGUCGGAUGUGAAAGCCCGGGGCUCAACCCCGGAAUUGCAUUCGAAACUUCCCAGCUAGAGUCUCGGAGAGGAGGGCGGAAUUCCCGGUGUAGAGGUGAAAUUCGUAGAUAUCGGGAGGAACACCAGUGGCGAAGGCGGCCCUCUGGACGAUGACUGACGCUGAGACGCGAAAGCGUGGGGAGCAAACAGGAUUAGAUACCCUGGUAGUCCACGCCGUAAACGUUGGGUGCUAGGUGUCGCGGGUAUUGACCCCUGCGGUGCCGUCGUUAACGCAUUUAGCACCCCGCCUGGGGAGUACGGUCGCAAGACUAAAACUCAAAGGAAUUGACGG
rnacentral:rRNA from 1 species